GAAGUAUCGUAUGUUUUGAAGUUGGAUUUAGGUGUAUUGUUUAUUGUUAUGCGUUCUACCGUGCCAUCCCCGUGCACCCUACUUGCCUACCACUUUCAAAAGAACCUGCGCAGAACUAUGGCUGUCUCGCGCAUGUAGGGGUGAAGGGUGUGGUGGGGAAGGGCCUGGAGCAGUGGUGGGGAUAAGUCGUUGGGGCGAGGUGUCUUUCCCCACCACUCUGACUCUCCUGCUGUCCUGCAUGCACGACUCAUACAGAGUCAUUGAUUGAGGUGCUGGUGAACUGAUUGAAGACUUAAAAAUGUUUUGUUAUUAGUGUGAGGUGUGAUAGUACGGACUGUUGUGAUAAAUUACCACUGUUUAU